rnacentral:rRNA from 3 species
CCUGGCGGCAGUAGCGCGGUGGUCCCACCUGACCCCAUGCCGAACUCAGAAGUGAAACGCCGUAGCGCCGAUGGUAGUGUGGGGUCUCCCCAUGCGAGAGUAGGGAACUGCC